rnacentral:rRNA from 1 species
UACAGAGGGUGCAAGCGUUGUUCGGAAUUAUUGGGCGUAAAGCGCGUGUAGGCGGCUUUGCAAGUCGGGUGUGAAAUCCCUCAGCUUAACUGAGGAAGUGCGCCCGAAACUGCCGAGCUUGAGUACCGGAGAGGGUGGCGGAAUUCCCCAAGUAGAGGUGAAAUUCGUAGAUAUGGGGAGGAACACCGGUGGCGAAGGCGGUCUGCUGGGCAGUAGCUGGACGCUGAUGCGCGACAGCGUGGGGAGCAAACAGG